CCUACGGGAGGCAGCAGUGGGGAAUAUUGCGCAAUGGGCGAAAGCCUGACGCAGCGACGCCGCGUGAGGGAUGAAGGUCUUCGGAUCGUAAACCUCUGUCAGCAGGGAAGAACGGUCACUGUGCUAAUCAGCAGUGAAUUGACGGUACCUGCAAAGGAAGCACCGGCUAACUCCGUGCCAGCAGCCGCGGUAAUACGGAGGGUGCGUGCGUUAAUCGGAAUUACUGGGCGUAAAGCGCUCGUAGGCGGUAUGUCAAGUCAAGGGUGAAAUCCCCGCGCUCAACGUGGGAACUGCCUUGGAAACUGGCAAACUGGAGUGUGUGAGAGGCUAGUGGAAUUCCAGGUGGAGGAGUGAAAGCCGUAGAUAUCUGGAGGAACAUCAGUGGCGAAGGCGACUAUCUGGCACAUAACUGACGCUGAGGAGCGAAAGCGUGGGUAGCAAACAGGAUUAGAUACCCCUGUAGUC
rnacentral:rRNA from 1 species